AAAACUGUUCUCGGUGCCCUUGUGGCAUGCCUAAUUUUUUAGAGACAUAACUCACCUUUAGUCAUUUAAUCCCAAAAACAAAUCACUUACACAAAUGACAAGCAAGCAAAAAUAUUUCUUGACUUUAUCGCCCAGGAAAUCAAUGGAAUUAUGAUGGAUGAUUCAACAUGAUUCAUCAGAAUCAUU